rfam:Canis lupus familiaris chromosome 35, whole genome shotgun sequence.
CCAAAGGCUCUUUUAAGAGCCACUCCAAGUGCUUUAAAAGCGGCAU